UACGUAGGGUGCGAGCGUUAAUCGGAAUUACUGGGCGUAAAGCGUGCGCAGGCGGUUUUGUAAGUCAGAUGUGAAAUCCCCCGGGCUUAACCUGGGAACUGCGUUUGAAACUGAGGAGCUCGAGUGUGGAAGAGGGGGGGUGGAAUUCCAGGUGUAGCAGUGAAAUGCGUAGAGAUCUGGAGGAACACCGAUGGCGAAGGCAGCCCCCCUGGGCUAACACUGACGCUCAUGCACGAAAGCGUGGGGAGCAAACAGG
rnacentral:rRNA from 1 species